rnacentral:rRNA from 1 species
UACGUAGGUGGCAAGCGUUGUCCGGAAUUAUUGGGCGUAAAGCGCGCGCAGGCGGUCCUUUAAGUCUGAUGUGAAAGCCCACGGCUCAACCGUGGAGGGUCAUUGGAAACUGGGGGACUUGAGUGCAGAAGAGGAAAGCGGAAUUCCAUGUGUAGCGGUGAAAUGCGUAGAGAUGUGGAGGAACACCAGUGGCGAAGGCGGCUUUCUGGUCUGUAACUGACGCUGAGGCGCGAAAGCGUGGGAGAAGCAACGGG